UGGGAAGGCUGGAAUACAAGAUUUUGUUCAAAAUCCAUCUUUUGGACCUUUGAAAUUGCUUGAGAUUAGUUUAUAGAAUAAACCGAUGGAGAUGAAGUUCUAUUUGUGUUAGUCGAUCAUCACCGACAAGUGCAAUUGGAAUCGGUGGUCUCGGAAAUACAAUCUUGUUACAGUUGGUUUUAACAACGACGCUUCAUAUGGUACAACGAUAGAAAUUGAAUUUCUAACGGAAUGUUGAAAGCGCUCAAAACCUAUCUCCAACAUUUUCUAUUUGAAUGUUGAAAGUUCUAAAAAAUAUCAACAUUUAGAUGAUGAGUGGGAUAGGGAAAACCAACAUGGAUUAAGAAAUUUUAUGUAUUUCAUAUUUUAUUAUUAAAAUUGGAAAUGAUUCAACUAAAUUGCAUCAUUUCUACCCGAUUAAGUUAAAGAAGGACUUUGAUAAGAAGUCUAAGAUACAGUAAUUGGAGUAAGCAUCGGGUUACGUCUUGGGAGAAUUGUUUUGGAAGCAUUGGCAACUUGUUAAGUUGGAUGAGCAAACAUGUUCAUGUUUUGUGGCUUAUGUCUUCAACGUCCAAUCGAAGAAGGACGCCGUGUAAAGAGAAGGUGAAAACACAUGCAAAUUUGUUGAUUCAAAGUGAUCAAGUUUGGUUUUUAACCGAUGCAUGAAUCUCGCUUUUGAAGCUUGUUCCAAAUAUGCGAUGGGUCGUUGAGAUUUCCGGAAGAUCAUUACGGGGUAACGGAAAAAGCUCGAAGUUCUCUGAGUUUUGUUAUUGUUGUUAUUAACUGAUUAUUUCUCGUCAAUAUAAACGACGAGAUGUUGAACUUCAACAAAUUAUUGAGGAAAACGACGAGAUACAAACAAUUUGGAGACUGGGGAGGAAUCGUCAAGAGCCUGAGAGAAAUGAUUAUCUCAUUGGAAGUGAUGAUUCAGUUCAUGAUGAACCUGUAUCUUACCAGUUUUGACUAUAUACACUUUUGAUAUAAAAAUUCAUAUUUUUCUUCAAAUAUCACAUGUGAUAUCCACAAUCAAUUUAUUAUCUUUUUGCCUAUUUUUUCUCUAUUUUUUAGAUCUACGUUUAGAAUCACAGUUGAUUAGUUUUGUUUAUUAUAUAAUCUAUUACAUAUCA